CUUUGCAAAUUUCAAAUGGGAAGACACGCCCUCUGGUGUGGAGUGGCGUCUUGUCAUUGAUGGCACCUGACUGCUCAAUCGUUGAGGUUGCCUUCUUGUGGAUACCUAGUGGCUUUAUAAGAAGCAAGUCUAAAUGUGGCAUGGUCAAUCUGCUUUGUGUUCCUGUUUUGUGGGCCAUAAAGGUCCGGGGGUUUAUAUGUUUAGUCACUUUUACCUGGUGUGUGUGCCUAAAGUGACAAGCACAGUUAGCAUAAAGCUUACUGUUGUCUAAGAUUGAGUUUCAAUGUCCUGUGAAUGCAGCUGACUGUGUGGCCAUAACGGUGCUGGAUUGCUGUUCCUCUGAGUGUUCUGUGCACUUAUAGCCACAGGUGAAUGUUUGAGCUGUGAUACUGAAGCUUAACAGAAGGGGAGAGUGUAUUUGUUUCUUUUGCUGUAGUUUCUUUUUGGUUUGUCACUUGCUUUCUGAAUUUGUAUGCACUGAUUUGCUGUGCGGCUUGUCCCUUCUGUUAAAGUAAGUUUUGUGUGUGUGGGGUUAGGUUUUUUUUUUUUUUUU